GGGGAUAGCUCAGUGGUAGAGCCCAUGCCUAGCAUGCAUGAGGUCCUGGGUUCAAUCCCUAGUACCUCCA
rnacentral:tRNA from 1 species